GUCGCCAUCUUGGACUCGGUUCGACCAGGUCUGGUGACCGGCGACGAGGGGCCGGGCUCGGCGCCGGGGGUCGGGGAAAGAAGAACUAGGUCUGGCAGUAGAUCAGAAUCUACCUGUUGGGGAAAACCAGAAAUAGGAAGAAGAGUUAUUAAUGGUUCAUUCUUGGCUGAGAAGAAUUCAGUAUGGAAUAAUUAAGGCUGGUGGCUGCUAAUUCAGAUAAUUUAAUUUUCCAAGUGAGGAAAGUUGCUCUUGCAUCAAGCUUAUAAUACAAUGCUUCUUGGUGGAUAUAAUUCUUCCAUUAUAAGCUCCAUCCAUCAUGCCAAGGCAAGUGGCCAGAACUAUGAGAUUGGACAUGGCAAAGACUGAACUACUAUCAAUGCCUUUUACAAAAUGAGGUCAUUGGAUUGCAGAGUUGGCUUUCGAGAAGAUUUUGUGGCCUUUCUCAGCUGUCUAGGUGCUGUAGGUGCUGUGUUUCUAUGGCUGCAAGGAUGAAGAUUAUGAUAUGGAUGGAUGAUGGAAGGAAGGAUCUAUGAAUAUAAUAUUUGAGUUUCAGUUACUGGCCUUUACUUCUUCCAGAAAGUCAGGCCAAAAGAACAAAGUCCUAGAAGGUCUUCUGGUGAGUCACAUUCUGAGCAGCAAAACUGGCAUUGAGGCAUAAUUAACAUUCAGAUUGCCCCCAGUUUCUAUGGAGAUGAGUCUAGCCCCUCGGGGGAGUAGUGAUGGAUGUGUAAUCUCCAAGAUAAGUAACUGACAGGCUGUAUUCUAGGAACUCAAAAUGAAAGAAAAAUAGGAUAUGUUUCUUACUUUAGAGACCACAGAAACUAGUCUCCUAUAUUGGACCUUCUUGGU
rnacentral:lncRNA from 10 species